rnacentral:rRNA from 1 species
AGGAUAAACGCUGGCGGCGUGCCUAACACAUGCAAGUCGAACGUCCUACGCAAGUAGGGAGUGGCGGACGGGUGAGUAACACGUGGGCAAUCUACCUUUCGGUGAGGAAUACCGGCGAGAAAUCGCCGACAAUACCGCAUACGCUUCGCAAGAAGCAAAGUCGCAAGACGCCGGAGGAGGAGCCUGCGCCCGAUUAGCUAGUUGGUGUGGUAAUGGCGCACCAAGGCGACGAUCGGUAGCUGGUCUGAGAGGAUGAUCAGCCACAUUGGGACUGAGACACGGCCCAAACUCCUACGGGAGGCAGCAGUGGGGAAUAUUGGACAAUGGGCGCAAGCCUGAUCCAGCCAUGCCGCGUGAGUGAUGACGGCCUUAGGGUUGUAAAGUCCUUUUAACGGGGAGAUAAUGACGGUACCCGUAGAAUAAGCCCCGGCUAACUUCGUGCCAGCAGCCGC